rnacentral:rRNA from 1 species
CCUACGGGGCGCAGCAGUGAGGAAUAUUGGUCAAUGGACGAGAGUCUGAACCAGCCAAGUAGCGUGAAGGAUGACUGCCCUAUGGGUUGUAAACUUCUUUUAUAUGGGAAUAAAACGUUCCACGUGUGGGAUUUUGUAUGUACCAUAUGAAUAAGGAUCGGCUAACUCCGUGCCAGCAGCCGCGGUAAUACGGAGGAUCCGAGCGUUAUCCGGAUUUAUUGGGUUUAAAGGGAGCGUAGGUGGAUUGUUAAGUCAGUUGUGAAAGUUUGCGGCUCAACCGUAAAAUUGCAGUUGAAACUGGCAGUCUUGAGUACAGUAGAGGUGGGCGGAAUGCGUGGUGUAGCGGUGAAAUGCUUAGAUAUCACGAAGAACUCCGAUUGCGAAGGCAGUUCACUGGACUGCAACUGACACUGAGGCUCGAAAGUGUGGGUAUCAAACAGGAUUAGAUACCCUGGUAGUC